rnacentral:rRNA from 1 species
UACGAAGGGGGCUAGCGUUGCUCGGAAUCACUGGGCGUAAAGCGUGCGCAGGCGGUUUUGUAAGCCAGAUGUGAAAUCCCCGGGCUUAACCUGGGAAUGGCAUUUGGGACUGCAAGGCUGGAGUUUGGCAGAGGAGACUGGAAUUCCUGGUGUAGCAGUGAAAUGCGUAGAUAUCAGGAGGAAUACCGAUGGCGAAGGCAGGUCUCUGGGCUAUAACUGACGCUCAUGCACGAAAGCGUGGGGAGCAAACAGG